rnacentral:rRNA from 1 species
UACGUAGGGUGCGAGCGUUAAUCGGAAUUACUGGGCGUAAAGCGUGCGCAGGCGGUUAUUCAAGACAGAUGUGAAAUCCCCGGGCUCAACCUGGGAACUGCAUUUGUGACUGCAUCGCUGGAGUGCGGCAGAGGGGGAUGGAAUUCCGCGUGUAGCAGUGAAAUGCGUAGAUAUGCGGAGGAACACCGAUGGCGAAGGCAAUCCCCUGGGCCUGCACUGACGCUCAUGCACGAAAGCGUGGGGAGCAAACAGG